AACGAACGCUGGCGGCAGGCCUAACACAUGCAAGUCGAACGCCGUAGCAAUACGGAGUGGCAGACGGGUGAGUAACACGUGGGAACGUACCCUUCGGUUCGGAAUAACUCAGGGAAACUUGAGCUAAUACCGGAUACGUCCGAGAGGAGAAAGAUUUAUCGCCGAGGGAUCGGCCCGCGUCUGAUUAGCUUGUUGGUGAGGUAACGGCUCACCAAGGCGACGAUCAGUAGCUGGUCUGAGAGGAUGAUCAGCCACAUUGGGACUGAGACACGGCCCAAACUCCUACGGGAGGCAGCAGUGGGGAAUAUUGGACAAUGGGCGCAAGCCUGAUCCAGCCAUGCCGCGUGAGUGAUGAAGCCUAGGGUUGUAAAGCUCUUUUACCGGGAAGAUAAUGACUGUACCGGGAGAAUAAGCCCCGGCUAACUUCGUGCCAGCCGCCGCCGUAA
rnacentral:rRNA from 1 species